GCAUCCCUCAUGACAUCCACCAGAUGUCGCCGACAUGCAGAGCCCCUGGGAAGCUGCUGAGUUCAACCCGUUUACACACCUGCAGCUCGUUUUGGAGGGCGUGGAUUAUGGAUUUAAGCAGCAGCUCCUCUUUUUCUCAUCGCCUGAGUGUUUGCUUACUUCGAUAUCCUGCUGUCCUCUCGCGGUUCUGGUGAAGAACAGUCCUCCCCGGAUUUCGAGUGAGUCUGUGUUCCCCUUGUUGUGGAUUACCUACCUCCUGUGUCCUCCCUCGACGCUGUCAGUGUUACCGGUCAGACGCCACUAACUCGUGUGCUCACCUUUCCCCCUCGUCGGUCCCUCUCCGGUGGAUUCCCCUUCGGAAGCGUCCGGGUCAGGUGGCCCAAGCCCCAACCCAGCCGGAGAAAGAAUAC